rnacentral:misc_RNA from 1 species
UUAAGUUCAGCGGGUAUCCCUACCUGAUCCGAGGUCAAAAGAUGUAGAGUAGCUUAAUGGUAGGAGGCAAGCUGGAGCCGCUACGCAAUGUGCUGCGCGCGAAAGCCAACUGACCGGCUGCCAAUAGAUUUGAGGCGAGUCCACGCGCGGAGGCGGAACAAACGCCCAACACCAAGCAGAGCUUGAAGGUUUAAAUGACG